CUGCGGUCAAGACACCUUCUUGCCUCGACUGCUAACGCAAAAAGAUCCCUUGCAAGGCGUCCCAGUGUCUUGUUCGUUCCCCCUUCGAUGUCAAAGUCGAUUAGGUCCAAAAACAGCGUCUCAAUGGGACGAGAGGAUGAUUCCCGCCACCCACAAGAAGUUGUUCCAAAGGGUAAGUAGUGGACCGACUAAGUAAGUAGCUCCGGCCCCCCCCAUAUCGAAAGCCAUCACCUUAACACCUUAGACAGGGGGCGGACCACAGGGGUCAAGUAGGGGAUUAUAACCCCCGGACUUCAAAAAUUACAAAUUGCUGUUUAGAUAGAAUUUUUUUUACACUUUUGCCCCCCUAAAAUAUAUUAAAUUUUUGUUUACAUUUUAGCCUCCCGACCUAAAAAAAAAAAAAAAAAAAAAUUUUCCUGACCGACCUUGAUCUUUAUCUUGGCACGAUUUUAUGUCCAGGCUUAGUUUAAUGCACUCGUUACUGUACGGAUCGCAAUCGCCUGCGAGGUAGGGAUGGCAAUUGGGCCGGGCAAGGCCGGAGGUUGGUGUCCCCGUCUCCGAUCCUCGAAAUAUUUUUCAGUCCCCGUCCCGAUCCCCGCCGGGGAUUUUUUUUACCCCCAUCCCCGCCCUUAACGGGGACUGGGGAUCCCUGCCCCGAAUUCGAACCCUGAAAAAAACUCACAAUUGUGCGCGUGUGUGUGUGUGAGAGAGAGUAAACCAGAGCCUCCUCCAGACUCCUUCGAGCACUGAGAAGGUCGUCUUCGGCAAGAUCGGCGACCCUCUUGCGACGACGUGUGCGGCGUGUUCAACAUCACCGUCGUCUCGCACCGUCGUCAAGGAUGCGAGUCGCACCAUCGGAACGGUCAUCGACGAUGCGAGCGAUGAGAAUCCACGGAAUUCGGACUCGCCGAUUCUCUUGCUCUCUCUCUAGAACUUCCUCUCUCUCUAGAUGUGUGGUUGUGGAUGCCCCCUAGAGGCUUCGACCCUUUAGUUUAAAGGGUGGUAAAUUACACUGCCUCCCUUGAAGCUUAUGAUAAUGCCGAGAACUCCCUCAAGUUUGAAAAUGACAACUGACCUCUCUUCUAUUUUAAAAUAAUAUAAUUUGAGAAACGGGGGAACGGGAUUCGAGGCGGAGGAGAUAGAAUGAUGAUAUACAAAACCGUCCCUGCCCCGAUCCUGAAUUGAUUUUUCUUCUAACCCGAUCCCAAAAAUUAACCCGAUCGGGGAGGAGCGCGAAGCGGGCGGGGCGGGGCCAAUGCCAUCCCUACUGACGAGGGUUUAUCAUGGGGGUUUGAACGUUGCCAAAUGUCGAUUAGAAAGUUAUGUUCACAAAAUGUUAGUUCCCUGUGCCCACAAGUACUGUAUAAACUACAGGAGAAUGAAUGACACAGGUUAGCCACUGAAACAGCCAUUCAAGCGGGUUAUUUGCUAUGUGUUGUAUUGCUCAGUUCUGCUUUUACGGGAGAAGGAAAUUCCUACAUUAGAGCUAUUGUUUUGUGCUUAUUACGAAAGUGUGCCUUAAUUCAUUUAAUUUGUUGCGAUUGUGUCUUUAAAAAUUCGAUUAACAGUGAUUUGGCUUUACGUCGAUGACAUCUUAGGAAUGAAACAAAACAGAUUUUGUUUCUUAGUUUUUGUUCAUUAUGCAACUGUUUUUUGCUUUGUAGCCCUAUUUUUUGUUGCUUUUCCAGGAACUUGACACAAUGAGUUUUUGUUUUCUUUUUGUUGUAAUGUGUAAGCUGUGGGCCUGUGGCCAAGACAUAUGUAUAGGAGUGUGUGUGUGUGUGUGGUGCUGUUGCCUUCAACAUUGUGCCCUAGGAUAAAAAAUGUAUGACUCAAGUUAUGAACAAAUUGUGCUCAUGUUAUCACCUCCAUCAAAGUGUGUUCGAUGGAGACAGGAUGGACGCUUGAUUUCAGCUUUAGCGAGAAAAAUGUAUACCCUGAGCAUGGAAUUUGCACCUCCGAUAGCAGUAUCAUCGGAGGUGCUCGAUGGUGGCAGAAGAAGGGGGGUGGGGGAGUGGCCGGUGGUUGUAACCGGAGGUAAUGGAGGGAGAGGGGAAUAAAUAAUGUUUUCAGACUGAAAGAGAACAUUUUUUUUUUGAAUUUAGUAAAUUCUGAAAAUUAUUUCUAUACUUUUGAAAAAAAAAAUAGUUGUCAAACAUCGUUUUGUUUACAAUUUACUCUGAAAUUUCUAAGAAUAAGAACCAAAAACAGUAAAGAUUUAAAUGUUAUGAAACCUGACACAUAAUGUAGUGUGUCCAAAUAGCAGGAAAAGAUACAAUGAAAUCAUAUGUUUAUAAUGAUCUUAUCAAUCUAUUUUUUUCAUAAUUCAUAUAUAUACUAAGAGUUUACGAAAUAAACAGAUUAAGUCUGAUUAUCAGAGUUUACGAAAUAAAAAAAGUUUUCUUUUUUUGAAAAAAGAAAACUUCUGAUUAUAUGAUUUUUAAGUUGUCUUUUUAAAGAUGUGUUAUUUCAAAAAAAAGUACAUUUUCUAAAAUAAUAA
rnacentral:lncRNA from 1 species